rnacentral:lncRNA from 1 species
CGAGCUAUAGCCCUACAUCUCCUAGUUAUAGCCCAACAUCGCCUAGCUAUAGCCCUACUUCUCCUGCAUACAGCCCCACUUCGCCUGCCUACAGCCCCACUUCGCCUGCCUACAGCCCCACUUCUCCAUCUUACAGCCCCACUUCGCCAUCUUACAGCCCCACCUCACCUUCUUACAGCCCCACCUCGCCUUCAUAUAGCCCCACCUCACCAAGUUAUAGUCCAACUUCUCCAUCAUAUAGUCCCACUUCUCCUGCAUACAGUCCUACCUCCCCUGGUUACAGC